ACAUAAGAGGUCCAGCCUGCCCAGUGAUAAAAUUCAACGGCCGCGGUACCCUAACCGUGCGAAGGUAGCAUAAUCACUUGUUCUUUAAAUGAGGACUAGUAUCAACGGCAUCACGAGGGUUAAACUGUCUCCUUUUUCAUAUCAGUGAAAUUAAUCUUCCCGUGAAGAAGCGGGAAUAAUUAUAUAAGACGAGAAGACCCCAUGGAGCUUUAAACCCAACUACACUCCUUCUAACAUUACUUCAAAAUCUCUAGGACUCUGUAUGUUCUGGUUUUAGGUUGGGGUGACCGCGGAGCAUAAACUAGCCUCCACAAUGAAUUAGACCUCCUCUUUAUCCAAGACUAACAUAUCUAAGAAUUAGCAAUCUAACAUAAAAUGAUCCGAUAUUCGAUCAACGAACCAAGUUACCCUGGGGAUAACAGCGCAAUCUACUUCAAGAGCUCCUAUCGACAAGUGGGUUUACGACCUCGAUGUUGGAUCAGGGUAUCCAAGUGGUGCAGCA
rnacentral:rRNA from 1 species